rnacentral:rRNA from 1 species
AGAGUUUGAUCAUGGCUCAGGACGAACGCUGGCGGCACGCUUAACACAUGCAAGUCGAACGAGAGAAGAGGAGCUUGCUUUUCUGAUCUAGUGGCGGACGGGUGAGUAACACGUGAGCAAUCUGCCUUUCAGAGGGGGAUACCGAUUGGAAACGAUCGUUAAUACCGCAUAACAUAAUUGAACCGCAUGAUUUGAUUAUCAAAGAUUUAUCGCUGAAAGAUGAGCUCGCGUCUGAUGAGCUAGUUGGUAAGGUAACGGCUUACCAAGGCGACGAUCAGUAGCUGGACUGAGAGGUUGAUCGGCCACAUUGGGACUGAGACACGGCCCAGACUCCUACGGGAGGCAGCAGUGGGGAAUAUUGCACAAUGGAGGAAACUCUGAUGCAGCGAUGCCGCGUGAGGGAAGAAGGUUUUAGGAUUGUAAACCUCUGUCUUCAGGGACGAAAAAAGACGGUACCUGAGGAGGAAGCUCCGGCUAACUACGUGCCAGCAGCCGCGGUAAUACGUAGGGAGCGAGCGUUGUCCGGAAUUACUGGGUGUAAAGGGAGCGUAGGCGGGAUCGCAAGUCAGAUGUGAAAACUAUGGGCUUGACCCAUAAACUGCAUUUGAAACUGUGGUUCUUGAGUGAAGUAGAGGUAAGCGGAAUUCCUAGUGUAGCGGUGAAAUGCGUAGAUAUUAGGAGGAACAUCAGUGGCGAAGGCGGCUUACUGGGCUUUAACUGACGCUGAGGCUCGAAAGCGUGGGGAGCAAACAGGAUUAGAUACCCUGGUAGUCCACGCCGUAAACGAUGAUUACUAGGUGUGGGGGGACUGACCCCUUCCGUGCCGCAGCAAACGCAAUAAGUAAUCCACCUGGGGAGUACGACCGCAAGGUUGAAACUCAAAGGAAUUGACGGGGGCCCGCACAAGCAGUGGAGUAUGUGGAUUAAUUCGAAGCAACGCGAAGAACCUUACCAGGUCUUGACAUCGUAUGCAUAGCUCAGAGAUGAGUGAAAUCUCUUCGGAGACAUAUAGACAGGUGGUGCAUGGUUGUCGUCAGCUCGUGUCGUGAGAUGUUGGGUUAAGUCCCGCAACGAGCGCAACCCUUACUGUUAGUUGCUACGCAAGAGCACUCUAGCAGGACUGCCGUUGACAAAACGGAGGAAGGUGGGGAUGACGUCAAAUCAUCAUGCCCCUUAUGACCUGGGCCUCACACGUACUACAAUGGCUGUCAACAGAGGGAAGCAAAGCCGCGAGGUGGAGCGAACCCCUAAAAGCAGUCUUAGUUCGGAUUGUAGGCUGCAACCCGCCUACAUGAAGUCGGAAUUGCUAGUAAUCGCAGAUCAGCAUGCUGCGGUGAAUACGUUCCCGGGCCUUGUACACACCGCCCGUCACGCCAUGGGAGUCGGUAACACCCGAAGCCUGUAGUCUAACCGCAAGGAGGACGCAGUCGAAGGUGGGAUUGAUGACUGGGGUGAAGUCGUAACAAGGUA